rnacentral:rRNA from 1 species
UACGUAGGGUGCAAGCGUUGUCCGGAAUUAUUGGGCGUAAAGAGCUCGUAGGCGGUCUGUCGCGUCUGCUGUGAAAACCUAGGGCUUAACUCUGGGCGUGCAGUGGGUACGGGCAGGCUAGAGUGCGGUAGGGGAGACUGGAAUUCCUGGUGUAGCGGUGAAAUGCGCAGAUAUCAGGAGGAACACCGGUGGCGAAGGCGGGUCUCUGGGCCGUAACUGACGCUGAGGAGCGAAAGCUGGGGAGCGAACAGG